UAAUCAGAGGGAGAGAGAACACAAAUCAAAGAUGGAUCUGACCGCCCCUUUCCUUUUCGUUCUCUCUCUCUUACUCAAAGAUUAAGAUUUUAGAUCUGCUGGAUCUAUUCACCGUAAGCUAUUGUUCCCGAGGAUCUGGACACCUUCCCUAAGAUGGUUGAAGAUGGAUCCCUAGUCGUCGCAUCUGGUGAAGACGGUGAACAUAGAAGAGAGAGAGAGAUAGAAAGAGAUAUAUGGAGUUAGAGAGAGAAAAGAGGAGAUACAAGAGGAGAGAGAGAACGGUGAUGGCAGCUGUUAGGGUUCCGGCCGUGAAACCGACUAUUCAUUUUUCUGGUUAGGUGAAUCAGACAAAUUGAGAGAGACUAAGAGAGAGAGAGAGAGAGAGAGAGAGAGAGAGAGAGAGAGAGAGAGAAGGGAGCCGAGAGUGAGAGUGAGAGUGAGAAAAGGAUCGAGUCUGCUUCCGACAAAAAUCCGGCAUCUGACCAGCAACGGCAGGGGUGAGCUUGGGUAGUUCUGGUUCACGAUAAUAAGGGAGCUUAUCUUGAUGAUAACGAGAAUCCGGUUUUUCUUGAUUGUGUUAGAGAACCUGAGGGACGGAUUGCUGGAAAUCUGAACAUCAGAACAUGUCGUGUUCUUGGACUUUCUAUGCAAGUUUAUGCGGGCUAGACAUUUUUUUGUUUAUAUUGCAAACUUCAUAAUCUUAGAUUGAGAAGGUAUAUGGUCCUGGAAAUCAGUACAUGACAACUGCGAAAAUACUUGAGGUAUUACUCAUGUGAAUGCCACCUUUAAUUUUUUUUUAUUGCGGACGACUUUAUAUCACAAAAACUAGGCAGGUGGCUCGAUAUACAUUGUUUCCUGUUUUGCAGAGCAUACAAAAUUUUUUUAACUUAAAAUGGAACGGAUCAAAUGCCAAAAAAUGUGGAUGGGUAAACCAAUCUGACGGAGUGACAGGUCAACCAAGUUUUAACUCAAAACUUGUUUUGGCCUGUUAGCCACCACACAUGGUGUCACAUAUAACUGCAAGGGUUCUUCGCCAGGUAACGGUAACGAUGGUUGUUAAUGACGUGAAAUUCAUUUUGACAUUUUCUGAUCAACAAUGCUUUGUUUCAGUCGAAAAAUGCUUUGUUUAUCAUCUAUUGGAUUUUUGCAAAUAGUUUUUAAACUUAAUACGAUUAAGCAACUCGAAACUAGGGGUGCAAAUGAGCCGAGCUACUCGAGAUUGGCUUGAAAAAAAGCUCGAACGAGUCGAGCUUAAACGCGCGCUGCCGCAGCGAGCGCAGUCGUCGCGUAUUGUUGGACGGAUCAACCUCACUGCGGCUGCGAUUACGAAAAGAAUGACAGCGAUAGAAGAAAUGGCAGGAAUGGACGUUCUUUGUGGUGACAAAACCGGAACAUUGACUUUGAACAAGCUUACAGUUGACAAGAAUCUUAUCGAAUUCUGUCUCGUAGAUGCGUAUUUUUUUAUUACAAAUUCAGAUUUUUUACUUGUAUUUUGACUUUUGAGUUGACUUACUUUAUUAGGUAUUUGCCAAAGGAGUAGACGCCGAUACUGUCGUUCUGAUGGCUGCCUGAGACUCUAGAACCAAAAAUCAAGAUGCCAUUGAUGAUGCAAUAGUCGGUAUGAUGGCUGAUCCAAAAGAGAGGUUGUCUACUUGCUCGCCAAUCAUUCUUCCACAAUGAUGUGAAAAACUUUGCAGAUGUUGGCGGUGGUGUUCUGGGUUGUAGAGGAUUUCAUUCGAGUUUUUGUACUUCUCAGGGUGGUCUUUUCCUAAAUAUUGCCACAAAGAGCUGAGAAUCCGGGUAUGCAGCUCCGGGAGCAGAUGCAGCAGCUACAGUCCGCGUUAUAUGUUGCAGGUCAGCCACCAUCUGAUUUUGAUGCUGAUAAGAACGAACGACAUCAGUCAACACUGCAGUUUGCUACCAACCUUUUGCUCCAAAUGAGUAGCAGCCAUCAGAGUAAGGGAGUGGAAGUGGUUCUCUUCACUAUGGUAUUACCAACUACCAAGCCCAUGGUCUGACAUGGCAGCCACAUCAGCAAGUGCGUUCUCAAUUGGAUCAACCAUAUCCCAUGGCUCGAAAGCUAGCCCGCUUUCACAGUCGAAGACAUGUGGCAUGAGUAUCAGUUUCAACUCUCAAAACAAUAUCAAGAGUUUCACAGGCCUCAAGUCAUCCUUCUUAGCCAAGGAAAGCACUGCAGCUCCUCGAUGACAUAUCUAUCCAUUAAGCUCUCUUUUUUUUUGUUUAUUUGUUUUUAUGACAUAUCUAUCCAUUUUGGUGCUAAAUGGGUCAACACAGCUUGGGUUUGACGUGUUAUUUGUUCCGAGUUUGGCUUAUUUACUUGAGCUUUGGAAAAGUACAACGAAGUUGGGUUCUAAACUU